rnacentral:rRNA from 1 species
AUACGUAAGGGGCAAGCGUUAUCCGGAUUUACUGGGUGUAAAGGGUGAGUAGGCGGUUCGGCAAGUCAUAUGUGAAAUUCUGAGGCUUAACCUCAGAGCUGCAUAAGAAACUGUCGGACUUGAGUGCAGGAGAGGCAAGCGGAAUUCCUAGUGUAGCGGUGAAAUGCGUAGAUAUUAGGAAGAACACCGGUGGCGACGGCGGCUUGCUGGACUGUAACUGACGCUGAGUCACGAAAGCGUGGGGAGC